rnacentral:rRNA from 1 species
UACAGAGGGUGCGAGCGUUGUCCGGAAUUACUGGGCGUAAAGAGCUCGUAGGUGGUUUGUCGCGUUGUUCGUGAAAACUCACAGCUCAACUGUGGGCGUGCGGGCGAUACGGGCAGACUGGAGUACUGCAGGGGAGACUGGAAUUCCUGGUGUAGCGGUGGAAUGCGCAGAUAUCAGGAGGAACACCGGUGGCGAAGGCGGGUCUCUGGGCCGAUACUGACGCUGAGGAGCGAAAGCGUGGGGAGCGAACAGG